UACGUAGGGCGCAAGCGUUGUCCGGAAUUAUUGGGCGUAAAGAGCUCGUAGGUGGCUUGUCACGUCGGGUGUGAAAGCCCGGGGCUUAACCCCGGGUCUGCAUUCGAUACGGGCAGGCUAGAGUGUGGUAGGGGAGAUCGGAAUUCCUGGUGUAGCGGUGAAAUGCGCAGAUAUCAGGAGGAACACCGGUGGCGAAGGCGGAUCUCUGGGCCAUUACUGACGCUGAGGAGCGAAAGCGUGGGGAGCGAACAGG
rnacentral:rRNA from 1 species